rnacentral:rRNA from 1 species
GAUGAACGCUGGCGGCGUGCCUAAUACAUGCAAGUCGAGCGAACGGACGAGAAGCUUGCUUUUCUGAUGUUAGCGGCGGACGGGUGAGUAACACGUGGAUAACCUACCUAUAAGACUGGGAUAACUUCGGGAAACCGUAGCUAAUACCGGAUAAUAUUUUGAACCGCAUGGUUCAAAAGUGAAAGACGGUCUUGCUGUCACUUAUAGAUGGAUCCGCGCUGCAUUAGCUAGUUGGUAAGGUAACGGCUUACCAAGGCAACGAUGCAUAGCCGACCUGAGAGGGUGAUCGGCCACACUGGAACUGAGACACGGUCCAGACUCCUACGGGAGGCAGCAGUAGGGAAUCUUCCGCAAUGGGCGAAAGCCUGACGGAGCAACGCCGCGUGAGUGAUGAAGGUCUUCGGAUCGUAAAACUCUGUUAUUAGGGAAGAACAUAUGUGUAAGUAACUGUGCACAUCUCGACGGUACCUAAUCAGAAAGCCACGGCUAACUACGUG